UACGGGGGGGGCAAGCGUUGUUCGGAAUUACUGGGCGUAAAGGGCUCGUAGGCGGCCAACUAAGUCAGACGUGAAAUCCCCCGGCUUAACCAGGGAACUGCGUCUGAUACUGGAUGGCUUGAGUUUGGGAGAGGGAUGCGGAAUUCCAGGUGUAGCGGUGAAACGCGUAGAUAUCUGGAGGAACACCGGUGGCGAAGGCGACAUCCUGGACCAACACUGACGCUGAGUGAGCGAAAGCCAGGGGAGCAAACGGG
rnacentral:rRNA from 1 species